ACGCGGGCGCCGGGGGGCUGCGCGGCCGCGCCGCAGAAGGUGAAGGAACAGCGCGAGGCACGCAGCCGCCGCACCGUGGCGCGCACGAGCUCAGCCGGCCGGCGACCCCAGCGCGCCCACAGGACAGUGGCAGCCGGAAAGUGGGUUCCUGCAUGGUAACAAGACCUUAAAAUUGUGUCACUGGAGAAGGACGUGCAGUUCCCGCUGAGGAGAGACUUGGCCACUCCAGGACAACACAGGACUACAAGUCAGGAAUUUGAAGAUGAAAAGUGCUCAACAGUGAUAAAUCCUAAAUGUUUCACUGAACAACCUUUCAGAUAGCCUUCUUGAAGUUUGCUGAAUUAUGGCUCUAAGGACCACUCCCCACCCCUGCUAGGUAUGGAGAGGUCAUCUCCUCUAUCUGAAGGUGACCAACAUCUCCAGUUUUUCCAGAUUCCCUAGGGGUUUUGAGACCUUCCCACACCUUCCCACAGGUACUGUAACUCCACCUGGCCAAUAGGAAUUUUCCAGGUUUACCCUUAGGUGUUUCGAGAUAUGGUCUCAGAAUACAUCAUGGGAAAAUUACAUUUUGGGGUCAAUCCUGUAUACCAAUUCUAGGUUAAAAGCAUGGGGACCACCAUGGUUCAACAUGAGCUGACCCUUGCAUUGACGAGUACUGAUACCAUUCAUGCCUGGGGAAGGAACAGAGGGAGGAAGAUAUGAAGGGCACAGUGAGAAGUGAAACAGUCACAUAACAAACUCUGUUUAUGAUCCCGCCCUAAAAUGAUUUCAUUUUGCAAAGGUCAAGGAUAGAGUUGAGUUUCAUCACCCCUAUAUAACAAAGGAAUAGGGGAAGGAUGCAAAAAUAAUACACCAAGGGAUAUUAAUGUGUAUGCACCUGAUCCUCAUCCUGUAGUCCCUCACUGCUCAAAGCGUGGUCCUUAGAGCAGCAGCAGCAGCAUCACUUGGAAGCUCGCAAGAAAAGCGGAAUCCUAGGCCCCACCCAACCCCAAAUCAGCGUCUGCAUUUUGACAAAAUCCCAGGAGACUCACAAAGACAUUAAAGUUAGAGAAGCACUGCUAACAACUUCCCCUGUCAUUCCCUGGGUCCGGGCUACUCUAGACUCUAAUAAGACAUUUCCAAAAUGAUGUGGAAAAUAAGACCACAGACUAGGGAUUUUUUUUUUUUUUUUUUUAGAUGAAGUCUCACUUGCCCAGGUUGGAGUGCAGCACGAUCUCAGCUCACUGCAACGUCCGCCUCCCGAGUUCAAGUGAUUCUCCUGCCUCAGCCUCCCUAGUAGCUGGGAUUACAAGCACAUGCCACCACACCUGGCUAAUUUGUGUAUUUUUAGUAGAGAUGGGGUUUCACCAUGUUGGCCAGGCUGGUCUCAAACUCCUAACCUCAGGUGAUCGUCCCACCUCGGCCUCCCAACGUGCUGGGAUUACAGGCGUGAGCCACCGCCCCCGGUCAGACUAGGGAUUUAGAAGCAAGACUUUGUCAUUUAUAAGAACACUGCAGAAAGGAACAAGAAUGACCCAGCUAGCCACUGAAGACCACCUCUGAAACCCAUCAACAUGACCGGCUUUCUAUAGGAAAAGUCUCCACAGACUCAAAAAGUCUCUAGUUUCUUCCCCUUAGGAAGGCAUGCCCUGGGAGUAACAGUUUGGGGACAAGAGAGAGUAGAGUGUUUACUGUCCUAUCCCCCAUUAAAUACAUGGCAGAACUUCCCCAGGGAAAGCCUAUCAUACUGACAUUAACUCAGUACCUGUUUGAACUUGGAGAGCAUUCAGAAUUCUCAUCAGUCAAAUGGCCGGAGCUGAGAAGGGUAGCUUGUUUUGUUCGUUUUUGAGACAGGGUCUUGCUAUGUCACCCAGGCUGGAGGGCAGUGGUGCAAUCCCGACUCACUGCAGCCUCGACCUCGUGGGCUCAAGCAAUCCUCCCUCCUCAGUUUCCCAAAGUGUUGGGAUUACAGGCAUGAGCCACCACACCUGGCUAAUUUUUGUAUUUUUUGUAGAGACAAGGUUUCACCCUGUUGCCCAGGCUGGUUUCCAACUCCUGAGCUCAAGCCAUCUGCCCACCUUAGCCUCCCAAAGUUGUGGGAUUACAGGCACAUGCCACCACACCUGGCUAAUUUUUAUAUUUUUUUGUAGAGACAUGAUUUCGCCAUGUUGCCCGGGCUUGUCUCGAACUCCUGGAUUCAAGCAAUCUACCCGCCUCGGCCUCCCAAAGUACCGGGAUUACAAGCGUGAGCCACCGUGCCCGGCCUGGGAUACUUUCUAAGAACCAAGGAACUAUGUAGAAAAUCUUGGCCGGGCACAGAGGCUCACGCCUAUAAUCCCAGCACUUUGGGAGGCCAAGACGGGCAGAUUACGAGUUCAGGAGAUCGAGACCAUCCUGGCUAACACAGUGAAACCCCGUCUCUACUAAAAAAUACAAAAAAAUUAGCCGGGCAUGGUGGCGGGCGCCUGUAAUCCCAGCUACUGAGGAGGCUGAGGCAGGAGAAUGGCGUGAACCCAGGAGGCGGAGCUUGCAGUGAGCCAAGAUUGCGCCACUGCACUCCAGCCUGGGCGACAGAGCAAGACUCCGUCUCAAAAAAAAAAAAAAAAGAAAAGAAAAUCUUGAUCUCUAUUCAGUAACUUUAAUACGUAUAUUAAUAUGUUCUUGUUUUUGGAACAAUCAUGUCAAAUCAAGCAAAAAGUAAUUUUAUUUUGUUAAUCAAAAUAAAGAGAAAAGUAGACAAUAUUUAGAGCAUCAAAAGAAUUUAAAUUAGAACAUCUUGAACUAUUGGAAAUAUGCAUUUGAACUCAGGUCUUUAAGAGGAAAAUAAUUAUCUUUCCUAGCUCUUUCACUGAGAUGGCCUCAGAGUAGCCUUACCCCAAAAUACACCUGAGUGCUCAGAUUCUUGAAUGGGUGCUCUUCUCCUCAUUGCAAGGGACUAGAAAUCCUUGGAGAAAUCACUGAUUCUGGUGUUCAAGAGAUACCAGAUAAGCUGGAACGUCUUAUGCUAGGAAGCAGAAGAAGCUUCAAAGAAAAAUAGGUCCAGGCAGAAGGAUGCAGGAGACAAGCUAGAAGUGCCAAAUCAGGACGAUUUGAGUAUCAAAUUGAAAUACACCCAAUUAUGAAGGUACCCAAUUUUCAAGAGCCGGCUGGGCGCGGUGGCUCACACCUGUAAUCCUACCACUCUGGGAGACUGAGGCGGGCAGAUCACCUGAAAUCAAGAGUUCAAGACCAGCCUGGCCAACAUGACGAAACCCCAUCUCUACUAAAAAUACAAAACUUAGCCAGGCACAGUGGCAUACACCUGCAGUCCCAGCUACUCGGGAGGCUGAGCCAGGAGAAUCACUUGAACCCAGGAGACAGAGGUUGCAGUGAGCCGAGAUUGCACCACUGCACUCAAGCCUGGGUGACAGAAAAAGACUCCAUCUCAAAAAAAAAAAAAAAAAAAUGAAGAGCCAUGAAAUCCAUGGUCAUCCUCAAUAAAAUUUAAAUAUUCGAAAAGAAUGUAGGAUAAAAUGUGUUACUGCUGAGUCUCGUUAUUUGGUUAUGUUUGUAUUGAUUCAUUUGUUGUAUUGAUAAAGAUUAGUAGAUGGCAAAUUCUUCCUUUAGAAGGUUGUUUGUGACCCAAGAGGGCAUCAAUACAAAGACCCUAAAGCUGGGAUUCCGAAGCACAGAGUCGCGGGAGAGAACCAAAGCUCAUCGCAUCUGGUUUAAGACUCCUUCAGAGUUGGAUCAGCCUAAAAACAGGACAUGGUACAAGAUUUUAUUCAUUCCAAAGAUUGUAAAAAUUAAAUUUAUCCUGAGAAUUUAUCAGUCUAUGUGGGAGCUACAGACUUCUAUGAGCAAGCAGAGUACCUGGCAUUCCUGACCAUGCUAUUUCUACCAAUCAACAAAAACUACUAGAUACUCAGAGGGGAUUUAAUACAGAGAGUUGGCUACAACAUGACAAAACACCAGACAAGGGAGGGCACUGUGGCUCAUGCCUGUAAUCCCAGCACUUCGGGAGGCCAAGGCGGGUGGAUCACCUGAGGUCAGGAGUUUGAGAUCAGCUGGCCAACAUGGUGAAACCCCGUCUCUACUAAAAAUACAAAAAAUUAGCCGGGCAUGGUGGCAGGCACCUGUAAUCCCAGCUACUUGGGAGGCUGAGGCAGCAGAAUCGCUUGAACCUGGGAGGCGGAGGUUGCAGUGAGCCAAGAUCAUGCCCUUGCACUCCAGCCUGGGCAACAAGAGUGAAACUCCGUCUGAAAUAAAUAAAUAAAUAAAUAAAUAAAUAAACGGACACACACCACAGAAGGGACAGUGAGGCAACCCAGGGAAUAGAAAGAGCAGAAGCCGCGACCCUCUGUAGGGCUGAGGGCACACAGCACAGGUCAAGUUACCAUCGCCCGGGAUCCAGGGUCCCCUGGUGGAAGCUGGAACCCACAGAUCAGUGCCGUGGGAGAUGGAGCCACAGAGAAACAACUGCUGCUGGAGACAUCAGCAGAGGAAGAAGGCGGAAAAAUACUGUAGCCGCUCCACACCUCCAGCCCAACGCCCCAUGGCGGAACUUCACUAGAGGCCCCACGGCAGAAGAUCCUCCAGGAACCUCCUUGUGGACCAGAGGAGAGAGAUAGAGAGGCGGCAGGAGGCAAGGGUGUGUCUAAGAACAAACAGGCCACGGCCAGCCCCUGGCCUUCCUGAAACUCCUCCCUUGGGUUCUUUUAAAAUUCAAUAUUCUGCUUCUGUUCCAGGGUUAAUGGGCUGAACUGUGUCCCCCCAAAUUCUAAUGUUGAAGUUCUAACCCCCAGUACCUCAGAAUGGGACUGCAUCAGGAGACAGGUACUUUAAAAUAGUCAUGAAGGUAAAAUGAGGUCACCACCUAAUCUGUUAUGACUGGUGUCCUUAUAAGGAUAAAAUAGUCAUUAAGGUAAAAUGAGGUCAUCACCUAAUCUGUUUAUGACUGGUAUCCUUAUAAGGAGAGGAGACUAGACACAGACAUGCACAGGGGGACAAUCCUGUAAGGACAAAGGGAGAAGACAGCCAUCUCCAAGCCAAGGAGAGAGGCCUCAGGAGAAACCAACCCCGCCCACACCUUCAUCUUGGACUUCUAGCUUCCAGAACUGGGGAAAUGAAUUUCUGUUGUUGAAGCCCCAGUCUGCAGUACUUAGUUAUAGCAGCCCUUGCGAACCAGCACAUCCAAGUUCUCCGUCUCUGUCUCUAACCCCUCUCUCAACCGUCGGCCAUAAGUGAGCCUCUGCCCCCAACUUCUGGCCUCCUCUAUGUUCUCUUCCUUGGUGACCUCUGGCAGUGACGCUCAGUCCUCAUGGCCAGCUCUGGCCUCUCCCAGGCUCUGGCGCCGCAAUCAUCUCUUCCACUUGUCUCUGCUUGGAUAGUCUGUCAGCAUCUCAAAGGCAACAUGAAUAAAACCAAAUGCAUUUUUCCCUCCCACAAA